rnacentral:rRNA from 1 species
GGAGGAAAGUAGGGGAUCGCAAGACCUCGCGCUAUUAGAGUGGCCGAUGUCCGAUUAGCUAGUUGGUGGGGUAAUGGCCCACCAAGGCGACGAUCGGUAGCUGGUCUGAGAGGAUGAUCAGCCACACUGGGACUGAGACACGGCCCAGACUCCUACGGGAGGCAGCAGUGGGGAAUUUUGGACAAUGGGCGAAAGCCUGAUCCAGCCAUGCCGCGUGCGGGAAGAAGGCCUUCGGGUUGUAAACCGCUUUAGUCCGGGAAAAAGGGGUGCGAGGAUAAUACCCUUGUGCUUUGAUGGUACUGGAAGAAUAAGCACCGGCUAACUACGUGCCAGCAGCCGCGGUAAUACGUAGGGUGCGAGCGUUAAUCGGAAUUACUGGGCGUAAAGCGUGCGCAGGCGGUCUUGUAAGACAGUCGUGAAAGCCCCGGGCUUAACCUGGGAACUGCGUUUGAAACUACAAAGCUAG